ACUCCUACGGGAGGCAGCAGUAGGGAAUCUUCCACAAUGGGCGCAAGCCUGAUGGAGCAACACCGCGUGAGUGAAGAAGGGUUUCGGCUCGUAAAGCUCUGUUGUUAAAGAAGAACACGUAUGAGAGUAACUGUUCAUACGUUGACGGUAUUUAACCAGAAAGUCACGGCUAACUACGUGCCAGCAGCCGCGGUAAUACGUAGGUGGCAAGCGUUAUCCGGAUUUAUUGGGCGUAAAGAGAGUGCAGGCGGUUUUCUAAGUCUGAUGUGAAAGCCUUCGGCUUAACCGGAGAAGUGCAUCGGAAACUGGAUAACUUAGAGUGCAGAAGAGGGUAGUGGAACUCCACUGUGUAGCGGUGGAAGUGCGUAGAUAUAUGGAAG
rnacentral:rRNA from 1 species